AGCGGGGGAUAACACCUGGAAACAGAUGCUAAUACCGCAUAACAACUUGGACCGCAUGGUCCGAGYUUGAAAGAUGGCUUCGGCUAUCACUUUUGGAUGGUCCCGCGGCGUAUUAGCUAGAUGGUGRGGUAACGGCUCACCAUGGCAAUGAUACGUAGCCGACCUGAGAGGGUAAUCGGCCACAUUGGGACUGAGACACGGCCCAAACUCCUACGGGAGGCAGCAGUAGGGAAUCUUCCACAAUGGACGAAAGUCUGAUGGAGCAACGCCGCGUGAGUGAAGAAGGGUUUCGGCUCGUAAAACUCUGUUGUUAAAGAAGAACAUAUCUGAGAGUAACUGUUCAGGUAUUGACGGUAUUUAACCAGAAAGCCACGGCUAACUACGUGCCAGCAGCCGCGGUAAUACGUAGGUGGCAAGCGUUGUCCGGAUUUAUUGGGCGUAAAGCGAGCGCAGGCGGUUUUUUAAGUCUGAUGUGAAAGCCUUCGGCUCAACCGAAGAAGUGCAUCGGAAACUGGGAAACUUGAGUGCAGAAGAGGACAGUGGAACUCCAUGUGUAGCGGUGAAAUGCGUAGAUAUAUGGAAGAACACCAGUGGCGAAGGCGGCUGUCUGGUCUGUAACUGACGCUGAGGCUCGAAAGUAUGGGUAGCAAACAGGAUUAGAUACCCUGGUAGUCCAUACCGUAAACGAUGAAUGCUAAGUGUUGGAGGGUUUCCGCCCUUCAGUGCUGCAGCUAACGCAUUAAGCAUUCCGCCUGGGGAGUACGGCCGCAAGGCUGAAACUCAAAGGAAUUGACGGGGGCCCGCACAAGCGGUGGAGCAUGUGGUUUAAUUCGAAGCUACGCGAAGAACCUUACCAGGUCUUGACAUACUAUGCAAAUCUAAGAGAUUAGACGUUCCCUUCGGGGACAUGGAUACAGGUGGUGCAUGGUUGUCGUCAGCUCGUGUCGUGAGAUGUUGGGUUAAGUCCCGCAACGAGCGCAACCCUUAUUAUCAGUUGCCAGCAUUAAGUUGGGCACUCUGGUGAGACUGCCGGUGACAAACCGGAGGAAGGUGGGGAUGACGUCAAAUCAUCAUGCCCCUUAUGACCUGGGCUACACACGUGCUACAAUGGAUGGUACAACGAGUUGCGAACUCGCGAGAGUAAGCUAAUCUCUUAAAGCCAUUCUCAGUUCGGAUUGUAGGCUGCAACUCGCCUACAUGAAGUCGGAAUCGCUAGUAAUCGCGGAUCAGCAUGCCGCGGUGAAUACGUUCCCGGGCCUUGUACACACCGCCCGUCAC
rnacentral:rRNA from 1 species